UCAGAACUUUUUCUCUCACUAAUCAAUUUUCCUCCUAUUUUAUUUCCAAUGAUUUAGCAGUUGAUUUCAAGUUUACAUUUCAAAGUUCACUCUCAAAAUAGAUGUUGAUUGAGCUGAAAACGGAUCUAGACAAGUUCACGAUCAGUUUUUUGAGCUAGCAAUGGCGAAGGUAAGGUUUGAAACCGACAAGAAGAAGAAGAACAAAGAUGUAUCAUCUUCUAAAGCCAUUGUUGAAACAAACCAUAAAAGGGGGUAGAAAACCUGGAUCUACAACUUCUCGCCCAACACUACCCAAGACUUACUUGAGGUGCCUAAGUGAAAAAUGGUGUCAACUAUCGGGGGCUGCUGAUGAGUUCCGCCUUUGUUUGCAUAUCUAUGUAUCAUCAAGACAUAUACAUUAGUGAUGUUCCAAGUGUUUCAUAGUCGGUAUAUAGCAGGUACACAUUUUAUUAUUUUUCAAUUGAUGGUCAUUUUAUUUCUAUGUAGACUAUGAAAUAUUUUAUAAAACAAAUUUCAGCUCACUCAUUAAGGUUUGGUUCAACCUACAAAAUUAGUUUUAUAGAUGAUUUGAAGUUCUCUAUAAGGGUUGAAGGUAUCGAGUUAUUCAAGAAAACCAUAUUUUGGUCAUACCUCAACAUUCCUAAUUGUAACUAUCAAGGCAAAAUCACAAAGUGUUUGAUGCUUCUUGAGUUGGAGCAGGGCAACAAAGAUGAACUGCACAUACGUCAUGCAAGAGGGAACACACUGCAUUUUAGUAUCAGGGAAUUUUCUAUUGUAACAGGACUAAAAUGCAUAGGCAAUGUUGAUGAUUUUAAAUAUCCAGAAUCUACUUUGAGUAGAUUGUUUGAAAGGUACUUCCCCGGUUCAAGAAAAAGCAUUAGCAAGGGACGUUUGGCUCAACGACUAGAGUUGGGAGGAUGGGAAAACAAUCAACAUGCCGUCCAAAUGGCAAUCUUAUACUUUAUUCACACAUUCAUUUUUCUCAACUUGGUGAUACAUUGAUACCUAUCGAUGAUUUCUUAAUGGUGGAAGAUGGAAGAUAUGAGCAGUUCCCCUGGGGACAACUUGCUUUCUCCAAGUUGAUGAAAUCAUUGAGGCAAGAGUUCACGAAGGAAAAACAGAUGUAGCGGCUAGCCGACAUGCCCUAUGCUCUAAAUGUCUGAAUUUACGAAUGUGCUUCCGAAGUCAAUAAAAAAAUUGCCGUCCAGGAGGAAAAUUAUAUCCCUAGGUUAUGCAACUGGCGUGCUGUGGCUGUCAAGCCAAAAGCAGAAAUGCUUAUGUCAAGCAUUUUUACAGAGACUGAGUGCACUGAUAUUCAAGCAACAGCGGAGGAACUGCAAUACUUGAAUUGCCUGCUACUUUGGGUUAUUCACCUUCUGAACCUUCCACAUUAACUGCCAAGACAAAGAAGGUGCAAACAAGAGAACUUCCCAAGGACAAGAUUGUUAUACCAGAAGACCCGUCUGAUUUUGAUGAUUUUUCGACAAGACCUCCGGAUGAGUUGUUAAGGAGAUCAAAAAGUCUUUCCAGUUCAGUAUCUACACCACCACCAAAGAGAAGAAAGAAAGUCCAUCGACCUAAGGCUUCUGUACCGAAAAAUAAACAAUCUGAAGAAGCUCCGACUCCACCGAAGCAACCAUUGCCAACUUCAGAUGAACCACCGAAUACCAAUGUUAAUGUAUCUCAUGUACAAAUUCCUUCAUCUAAUCCUCAGGGACAUUCAGUCAAGUCCGAUGUUGAAAAAGUUCAGAAAUAUCUAAAGAAAUAGGUUGACAAAAAAUUUGAAGAUCUUCAGAUUUUGAUAUAAACAAAGCAUAUCGAGUUGAUGAACGUUGUUCGGAAGCAAGAUAUUCAAGUUGAGAAGGGUCAUAAUACUUUCAUGGAUCAACAAGAUCAUAAGCAUGUGCAAUCAGAAGAUAUUGCAAACAUCAAAAUUGUGACAGAACAAGAUAUCACAGCUUCAGAAGAUAUUACAUCUAAGAAUGAUCAAGAUAUGGUUGAUGUAUCAAAAAUACCUUCCACAGCAGGACGUUCCAGUACAGGGUGUGCCCGAAUGUUCUGAACAAGUAUCAGCGGAGAAAAAUCUACAAGUUGAACAAGCUGUUAUUAACAAAAUAUUGGUAAUUGCAAAAUUCUUUAUAAGAUGUAUUUACAUAUCAUUCUAACCAAUCACAUAUUCGUUUUUAGGAGGUUCCGGUACAAGAAUUGCCCAAAUCAUCUGAACAGGAAUCAUUGAACGAAUAUGUAUCAGUGGAACAAACUGAUAUCAACAAAGUAUUGAUAAAUACUCAGACUUUAAUCUCCAAAUUUAAUAUGUCAUUCUAAUCACCAUGUUUACUUUUCAGGAUGAUGCUGCACUUGAAAUAGUAAUUCCAUCUAAAGAAGUAUCACCUGAUAAAGUCGUUUCUGAUACAGAGCAUAGUAAUGUCCUUCAAUCAAUUGCACCUCCAGCAAUGAUUGAUACAUCGAUAAUCAUUUAUAUCGAUUUACUUCUUAUUUAUCAGCACACCAUUAGACAUAAUUCU